UUAUUCCAGGGUACUUUAUGAAGGAAAGGAGAAAGUCAUGGCUGGCAGUGAAGUGGUCCUAAAUGCAGCAGGUGGUCAUUUAGCGAAUGUGAUCAAAAACUUUUAUUACAUAUCGGAGGGCACCUGAAAAUGCUCCCUGCAAUCAACUAGUUGUUACUGAUAUGUGUAUCAUAUUAGCAAAUAAGAAUGAAAAUCCACCUCAUGCAUUUUGUAAAAUCAACAGAAAUUUAAAUAAAGGAGUGCUUGGUUCAGGCAUCCAUUUAUGCUAUAAAAAAUCCAUGAAUCGGCCAGAUCUAUAUUGUUAUAAACCUGGGGUGCUUCUUUUAUUCAGUUGCUGAAAAAUGUUGGACCUGACAAAUGCUUUAAAGUCCUACUGUUUGCCCUGACUGAACAAAAGAUACUUUUCCAUUCACGGGGCCUGAUGUUUUGACUAGUGUGGCCGAAGCUGUAGUAAUGCCAGAAAUAAAAAUAUUUUUCUAAUUAAAAAGAUGAAAUCCAGUUUAGAAGUAUCUGAGUAAAUAUACUAAAAAAUAGACAUUUAAAUGCAUGAAAUGCAUGUCUAGAUGAAAAAUUUAAAUUAUACUCAUUUUUGAAGUUUUUGAAGCAUUUGAAGAAACUUGAUUAAUUUGUUUCAUUGCGUACUAAACGUACUAUUAUCUCAAUAUAGUUGUGAAAGACUCAAAUAGUCGUUUGCCAUGAUUUAAGUAAUUUACAAACUUUCGACUGUUUAGAUAAGGAGCUGAAAGAUAAGGAAAAGAGCGUAAAAUGAUGUUGUGUGGCCUCUAUCGUUAUGUCCUUUUAUUAACCGCAAAAAAUAAUAAGCUAGAGUAGUACUAAUUUGAACAGUACAUACCUAUAAGUGGUU